rnacentral:misc_RNA from 1 species
CUCUCUCUCUCUCUCUCUCUGUGUCACACACUCUCUCUCUUGUAUGUUUGCUUGUGUACACAUUCUAGGUUGAAGCAAUCCUCGGUGGCACUAGGUGGAUGAAUUUCAGAUGAGUUGUUAGAAUCCCAUGCAACUUCAUUGGCAGCUUAAACCUUGGUUUCUGCAUGUAGACUAGAUGUUCUGAAACUGUUCAGUUCACUGGGGAGACUUUACGUCCUUUUGAUUGUGUGCAUUACAAUCCAAUAUUUUGGUUUCUUGGAUGCAAGUAUAAAUCCUAGGUAUAAAUUGUGGAAUUUCAUUCUGACCAUGAGCAGUGGCAUACCAAGGAGAGAAGGGAAGGGCUGCUGCCUCCCCAUACUUUGUAUAAAAAAUUAUAAUUACUUUAUCUUUGCAUAUGUAUUUGUUGAUCACUCAAUCCAUAAUUUAUACCCUUAAGAUUCUACACUUUCUAAAUUUUCUUGUUUAUAUAGUUGAUUUUUUUACCAUACUCUUUAAUAUUUUCUACCUUAGCCUCCAAAAGAUUUUAUGUCUGUAUGUUUGGCAAAUUUAAAUUUCCUACCUAAAUCUCAUAAGAGUGAAAAUAAGGUAGAGGUGGACUGGCCAUAUUGAUUUUUGUAAACAUAACUAUCUAAAUAAAUAUUUAUCUAAAAGUUAAAAAUAUGAAAUAAUAAAUUGCCAAAAAUUAUUUGAGGCUUUUAAAUGAAAAUGACACUUUUUAUAACUUAUAAUUUAGUAAAAGUUCAACAAAUACAGCAUAAUAAAAUUUUUAACGAAAUGUAGUCAUUAUUUUUUUGAGCACUCACACCCUCCACCCCACCAAUGUCUUAAUCUUAGGUCCAUCACUGAUCAUGAGGAUGUCCUGCAUAUUGUUGUGGUGUUCUUUGCAAGUGAAAAUGUGAGAACUGAAUUUCCAUUUUCUUUUGUUGUUGAGGCUUUUCCAUUUUUUUAAAAAAAUCUUUUUUACAGUUUCCCAGUUUGUCCUUACAGCUACAUGCAAGAAGUAACUUAGAAAGGGCAUCUAUUGUGAUAAGAAAGAUAUUGUUGCAGAAUGAAUUCCUGUUUUCUCUUUAAUAUGCAAUCAAAUUUUUGAUGUUAUCAUAGCUUAACUGACAUCCAACAUUUUUGCAGCAUUGGGAAUUUUUUCUUUGCAGGAGCACGCAUAUUUUUCCAGUCUUUAGAUGCUGCAAUAUUUUUGUUUUCACGAGUUUCAGGUAUUCCACCAGAAAGUUUGGUUCUCCCUGUGAUCUCAACAAAUGACAGGCUUACAUUAGGAUGUGAAUUAUGGGUAUUACUGCAAGUUUACAUUUCAAUUUAUAUUGUGCAUGACAUGUUCAGCAUAUAUCAUACCUACAUGAACCAAUGUUUUUCCCAAAUUUAUCCUUGUGCUUAUAACCUGCUUUGGUAAAUUGUAGUUCAUUGAGAUGUUUUAUGCAACUGUAUAUAUAUAGUUCAGUAGUUGUAUAUCUUUCUUGGUUCACCAUUAACUCUUGUAAUUAUGCUGCCAAAUUUUGCAAGAAUAAUGCCAGAAUUCAAUUUUCUGACUUUUUCUUUAUAACUGCUGGUGAAUUUUACAUAUAGGAUGGGACGGUUAUACGUGGUCAGAAUGAAAUUUCUCAUCCAACCAAUGGUACUAUGCCACCUGUCAAUAAGGUAUCCCAGCGUUACUGUAAUGACAGUAAGCUCUGCCUAUAUUCUAUUAGCUUCCCUUUAGCAUUUUAUGUCUGUAUUUCUUGUGAAUAUUUAAAUAGGUAUUAUUCAAACUGUGGCUGCUAAUUAGUAAUGAUGAGGGUGGCUGGGGUUGCAAUUGAGGUGAUAAUGGGAGUUGUUUUAUGUGCAUGGUGACAUCAGUUGUUGUAUGGAAGUCAUGGUGGUGUUGCUGUGGUGAAGUUGCAAUAAAUUUCAUUUGAUACCUCCAUUUCUUGAGUCUAUUUUCCGGAACAUUCAUAAUGACAAUUGUGGUGUUGUACUGAAGAAAAUUUGGUAGUGAGAUACUGAUUUGAGUUUUUGCUCUUUGCUGAUAAAAAUAUUCAAUACAAAAAUGUACUUAAUUGACAAUUUACUAGCACAUUUAUAUUAGACAUUGUUUCUAACAUUCUAACAUAUCACAGUCCUUAAUCUUAUGGGAAGAAAGUUUUAUGGGUAGGGAUGUUCUUCAGUUCCAGCACUUCCUGCCAGAAUAAAGAGGGUGUUCUACAUGUCAAGUGAGGGUGGAAAUUCGCUGCAUGAGGUCUUUCCCACAGUUAACUCAUCUGUGUUGGACCAACUGAGUAAUGUGGAUUGCAUUGUUUAUGCAAUGGGGUCCCUCUUUACUUCCAUUUGUCCAUCAUUAUCGGUACUUUUGCUGAAUGGCACACAUGAUCGAGAGACCAGUGGCUUCUCUGCUUCAUGCUUUGUAACUACCAUUACAGAUGCUCUAAAUAGAAAAUAUGGAGAUACUCAUAAUUGUCUAGGAAACUCUGUAAGUGGAUUGAUAGAGUUACAGUUUAAGAUGCCUCAUGCUCAAUGGAGUUAUGAGAAUUGUCUGAAAAUACGUUCUUCUGUUGAAUACAGUUUCUAAAGCAUAAUGGAUCUUACAAAUUUGUGAUUUUGUUUUAGGGUAACAGGUGGCAUUUAUAAGUUUGAGGGUUAAUCACUGAAAAAGUCAAAAACUUUUUCUUGAUUUGCAUCUAUAGGCCCACGUAUCACUGUAUUUUGGAAAUAAUCAGUUAUAGCUUCUACUUUAAUCAUUUGUUUCAAUCAGGGUCAGCCCACUUAAAUAUAUUUUAUUACAUACAAAGUGAACGCAUAAAUAGAAAAUUAAGCACGUGAACUAAUAAAUUUUGUGCACUAGCAUCGACAGUUUUAUCUUGACAGGCUACACUUAGCUAUUUCGUUAGUUUGGACCAUUAUUGCAGAUUAAGAAAAAGUUUCCAAACACUAAAUAUUAGUAAAAAUUGAUUUUGAAGAAAUGAACAUUAUUCAUGAUGAAAGAUGGUUGUUCCUGUUUAUUUUUGUUAAAUGAUAUUCAACAAAAAUGAAACGAAAAUUAUGAGAAGAAAAAAGAACAAAAUGAAUCAAAAUUAACAUUAUUGGCUUAUUGCUAGAGUGUUUCUUAGUAAAACAUGCAAUUUGCUUCAUCUAUUUAAGUUUUUACCAGAUCCAAUUGCUUACAUGUUCAUUUUCUUUAGUAAAAUUGUUCUUCCAUGUUGUGUGUGUGUCCCCUAAAAUAAUAAGACAUGUUUAUGAUGUAAUCUGGUGAGGUUUAUAUUGUCAUUUUCUGAUUUUCUUGCCAGUAGAAGAAUAAUAGGAGUUUUUUAUUUUUUGUAGGUUUUUGCAUUUUGUGUAGAAACUCAUUCGUUUCAAUUUUUCUAAAUUAUCCUCCUUAAAAAAAAAGUAAAUAUUUUAUGUGCGGAAACAUCUUUGAUAACAAAUCACCAGCAAAGAUAAUGGAAGGAAACAUGAUAUUUAUUCCACUUGAUGUUUCUGUGCAGCCAAGUCAGUAUAUCGAUGCACUUUUAGUGCCCAAAGAAGGUGAAAUUCCCAUAGAUGUUCCAUGCUUGACUUCCCAAGGAAUCUUUGAUGUGAUCUUUGUUGACUCUUUUCGUGAUCCCAAAGUCGGUAUAAUAUUUAACCCAAAGUCAUUAAUAAACGCAAUUGCCAAUGUGGUAGGCUGACGCAUGAGCACAAAUGCCAUGCAUAGCUGACUAAAAUUUGACAGCAGAAAUGGAAUUUAGGAAGCUUAACCUUCGUGUGGCAAUGAAAUCAAUUGAGUGAGAUGUUUCUUUCGAGGUACAAGUUCAAGCAAAUCAGACAUGAGAUCUUGUCAGCAAAUCAUGAAGUCUUGUACUAGUUUAUUCUCCUAAUUGUAUGCGUAAUUUCUUGUUAAUCGAUAUCAAUGUUUGAAAGUAUCGAGCAAUUCACAGGUAGAUAUUUUGCACUUGUGAUUUCAAUUCAUAUGGUCUUUGAUUCCAUUCCAGGACAUAUGAGGGAUAUUCUAUAACAUCAAUGCAACUUUAAUUCAAGCAAGGCUUUUGUCCACGCGUUGUGCAGAUUCUUUGUCUUAUUACUAAAG